GGUGGCAAGCGACAAGUGCCGGAGCGCUACGCGGACGUCGGCUGCGGCUACCCGUGAGGUGUGCGGCGACGAAUCGGGAGGGUGGUGAUGCCACCACGGUGAGGGCUCCUCCUUCCCCUUCUUCUCCGCCGGGGAGGCUACUCGGUCUCUGCGUCGUGCGCCCCUGUGAGGAGGGUGGAUCUGGGGAGCCCGCUCCUCGUGUGAUGGCGGCUGGCGGAGAGGACUUGUGGCGACUUUUGACCAGCCGAGCGGCAACAACGACAGUCCUUAAGGUCAAAUUGACUGGCACACCAUGGAUCAAGAGGGUUACAACUUGUACUUGAGCGAAGCAGAUCUCUCAGGUUUUGUGUGUUAGUACGUGAAGAUCCCCGCCCGAUUUUUGCGUCAACACACUUUUGGCACGCCCGGUGGGACUACGAGCAGUUUUCAACAUGUCUAUUCCGGAACCUUCUGAUCUCUCAAACAAAAACAUCAUGGAGGUUAUGGAAGAUGAUCUUAAGGAGGAUCAGAAAAGUGAUCUAGCAAGAGCUAUGGAGGAAUAUAAAUUGAUGUACUUGAGAUCCUAUAGCCUUACCAAGAGGGGAGAAGUUAUUAAAAAGCAUGAUUUUCCAA